UACGUAGGGGGCAAGCGUUGUCCGGAAUCAUUGGGCGUAAAGCGCGUGUAGGCGGUCCGGUAAGUCGGUUGUGAAAGUCCAGGGCUCAACCCUGGGAUGCCGACCGAUACUGUCGGACUAGAGUUCGGAAGAGGCGAGUGGAAUUCCCGGUGUAGCGGUGAAAUGCGCAGAUAUCGGGAGGAACACCAAUGGCGAAGGCAGCUCGCUGGGACGUUACUGACGCUGAGACGCGAAAGCGUGAGGAGCAAACAGG
rnacentral:rRNA from 1 species